AGUGAACGCUGGCGGUAUGCCUAACACAUGCAAGUCGAACGGCAGCACAGUAAGAGCUUGCUCUUACGGGUGGCGAGUGGCGGGCGAGUGAGGAAUACAUCGGAAUCUAAUUAUUCGGGGGGGAUAACGUAGGGAAACUUACGAUAAUACCGCAUACGACCUACGAGAGAAAGCAGAGGUGAUUGGCACUUUUGCGGUUAGAAUUAGACGGAUCCGGGUUGGAUUAGCUAGUUGGUAAGGUAAAGGCCUACCAAGGCGACGAUGCGUAGCCGAUCUGAGAGGAUGAUCAGCCACACUGGAACUGAGACACGGUCCAGACUCCUACGGGAGGCAGCAGUGGGGAAUAUUGGACAAUGGGCGCAAGCCUGACCCAGCCAUACCGCGUGGGUGAAGAAGGUCUUCGGGUUGUAAAGCCCUUUUGUUGGGAAAGAACAGCUGCAGGUGAAAACCCCGCUGUUCUGACGGUACCCAAACAAUAAGCACCGGCUAACUUCGUG
rnacentral:rRNA from 1 species